rnacentral:tRNA from 1 species
GCGCCCGUAGUGAAAUGGAUAUCACUCCGGUCUUCGGAACCGUCAUUCCAGGUUCGAGUCCUGGCGGGCGCACCA